rnacentral:rRNA from 1 species
AUUGAACGCUGGCGGCAUGCUUUACACAUGCAAGUCGAACGGUAACAGGUUAAGCUGACGAGUGGCGAACGGGUGAGUAAUGCAUCGGAACGUGCCCGGUCGUGGGGGAUAACGCAGCGAAAGCUGCGCUAAUACCGCAUACGAUCUGAGGAUGAAAGCGGGGGACCGUAAGGCCUCGCGCGAUCGGAGCGGCCGAUGUCAGAUUAGGUAGUUGGUGGGGUAAAGGCUCACCAAGCCAACGAUCUGUAGCUGGUCUGAGAGGACGACCAGCCACACUGGGACUGAGACACGGCCCAGACGCCUACGGGAGGCAGCAGUGGGGAAUUUUGGACAAUGGGCGAAAGCCUGAUCCAGCAAUGCCGCGUGCAGGAAGAAGGCCUUCGGGUUGUAAACUGCUUUUGUAUGGAGCGAAAAGGUCUCCUCUAAUACAGGGGGCUCAUGACGGUACCGUAAGAAUAAGCACCGGCUAACUACGUGCCAGCAGCCGCCGUAA